rfam:Paenibacillus sp. HGF7 contig00118, whole genome shotgun sequence.
AUUUAUACAAAGCCGAAUCCGGUGAAUCAAAAGCACCUGUACGGGGGACUUAUUUCUGGGGUGAAUGCCUGUCAUUCUGCAAGCUAGGGAACCUCUUUCCCGAACCCGUCAACUAACCUCGGAGGCCCAAGGAGGAAAAAU